rnacentral:rRNA from 1 species
UACGAAGGGGGCUAGCGUUGCUCGGAAUCACUGGGCGUAAAGGGUGCGUAGGCGGGUCUUUAAGUCAGGGGUGAAAUCCUGGAGCUCAGCUCCAGAACUGCCUUUGAUACUGAGGAUCUUGAGUCCGGGAGAGGUGAGUGGAACUGCGAGUGUAGAGGUGAAAUUCGUAGAUAUUCGCAAGAACACCAGUGGCGAAGGCGGCUCACUGGCCCGGUACUGAUGCUGAGGCACGAAAGCGUGGGGAGCAAACAGG